GUAGAGGGGGGGUAGAANUCCNUGNGNAGCGGUGANNUGNGNAGAGAUGUGGAGGAANNCNGGUGGNGANGGCGGNCCCNUGGACAAAGANNGACGCUCAGGUGCGAAAGCGUGGGGAGCAAACAGGAUUAGAUACCNUGGUNGUNCACGCUGUAAANGAUGUCGACUUGGAGGUUGUGCCCNNGAGGCGUGGNNUCCGGAGNUAACGCGUUAAGNNGACCGCNUGGGGAGUACGGCCGCAAGGUUAAAACUCAAAUGAAUUGACGGGGGCCCGCACAAGCGGUGGAGCAUGUGGUUUAAUUCGAUGCAACGCGAAGAACCUUACCUACUCUUGACAUCCAGAGAACUUUCCAGAGAUGGAUUGGUGCCUUCGGGAACUNUGAGACAGGUGCUGCAUGGCNGUCGUCAGCUCGUGUUGUGAAAUGUUGGGUUAAGUCCCGCAACGAGCGCAACCCUUAUCCUUUGUUGCCAGCGCGUGAUGGCGGGAACUCAAAGGAGACUGCCGGUGAUAAACCGGAGGAAGGUGGGGAUGACGUCAAGUCAUCAUGGCCCUUACGAGUAGGGCUACACACGUGCUACAAUGGCGUAUACAAAGGGAAGCGACCCCGCGAGGGCAAGCGGAACUCAUAAAGUACGUCGUAGUCCGGAUUGGAGUCUGCAACUCGACUCCAUGAAGUCGGAAUCGCUAGUAAUCGUAGAUCAGAAUGCUACGGUGAAUACGUUCCCGGGCCUUGUACACACCGCCCGUCACACCAUGGGAGUGGGUUGCAAAAGA
rnacentral:rRNA from 1 species